rnacentral:misc_RNA from 2 species
AGAAGUCGGUAUUCUAACCGCAAGGAGAAAGCCGCCCAAGGUAGGAUUGAUGAUUAGGGUGAAGUCGUAACAAGGUAUCCGUACGAGAACGUGCGGAUGGAUCACCUCCUUUCUAUGGAGUUAAUACUUUAUAGUAAUUAACUAGUUUUAAUGACCGUUAUGUUUAGUUUUCAGAGAUUAGUUUCUCUGACAAUAACAAGUAAAUGUUAUUGGAAUUGUUCUUUGAAAACUGGAUAAUAGACAUCUAGUUAUUUUAAUCAAGUGAUUAAAAUAACAAUAAUUCAAAAUUUCUGUUAUUUUUAAAAAAUAACUAAAAUUUCACAGUUAUAUUUGUAAAUAAUUCUCAAAAAACUGAUUUAAAAUCAGGUCAAAUAAUUUAUAAAACUUUGAAGUUACAAAGGG